rnacentral:rRNA from 1 species
GGGGAAUAUUGCACAAUGGGGGAAACCCUGAUGCAGCAACGCCGCGUGAAGGAAGAAGGCCUUCGGGUUGUAAACUUCUGUUAAUGGGGACGAUAAUGACGGUACCCAUAGAGGAAGCCACGGCUAACUACGUGCCAGCAGCCGCGGUAAUACGUAGGUGGCGAGCGUUGUCCGGAAUUACUGGGCGUAAAGGAUGCGUAGGCGGAUAAUUAAGUGAGAUGUGAAAUACCCGGGCUUAACCUGGGGGGUGCAUUUCAAACUGGUUGUCUAGAGUGCAGGAGAGGAAAGUGGAAUUUCUAGUGUAGCGGUGAAAUGCGUAGAUAUUAGGAAGAACACCAGUGGCGAAGGCGACUUUCUGGACUGUAACUGACGCUGAGGCAUGAAAGCGUGGGGAGCAAAC